rnacentral:rRNA from 1 species
UACGUAGGGUGUAAGCGUUAAUCGGAAUUACUGGGCGUAAAGCGUGCGCAGGCGGUCUUGCAAGACAGAUGUGAAAUCCCCGGGCUUAACCUGGGAACUGCAUUUGUGACUGCAAGGCUGGAGUACGGUAGAGGGGGAUGGAAUUCCGCGUGUAGCAGUGAAAUGCGUAGAUAUGCGGAGGAACACCGAUGGCGAAGGCAAUCCCCUGGACCUGUACUGACGCUCAUGCACGAAAGCGUGGGGAGCAAACAGGAUUAGAACCGGUACC